UCAAAUUCCUGACUUGGAAAGAUGGGC
rnacentral:piRNA from 1 species